UACGGAGGGGGCUAGAGUUUUUCGGAAUUACUGGGCGUAAAGCGCACGUAGGCGGAUUGUUAAGUCGGGGGUGAAAUCACGGGGCUCAACCCCGGAAUGGCCUCCGAUACUGGCAAUCUUGAGGUCGGGAGAGGUGAGUGGAAUGGCGAGUGUAGAGGUGAAAUUCGUAGAUAUUCGCCGGAACACCAGUGGCGAAGGCGGCUCACUGGCCCGAUACUGACGCUGAGGUGCGACAGCGUGGGGAGCAAACAGG
rnacentral:rRNA from 1 species